GCUUUACUAAUAGAGCAGGCGAUACACUUCGAUAAAGUGUGUGGGGCUGGGCCGGCGGAAGAACUGGCAGCAGGAUAAAAUACCUGUGGGACUAUA
rnacentral:ncRNA from 2 species